UGAGCCUUUUGGGGGAAGACAAUCUUUCUUCGGGUAAAAUGGUAUUUUUCCAGAGAGGCUUCUAGGGACCACCAAUUGUGGUUUUUCAGGAGAUGUGGCAUGGCAGGAUGAGAGCCAGAGACAGCGUCGUUGGGCGGGGUGGUAGGAAAUGACUCAGGGGGCUGAGGAUGAUCGCCGUGAAGUGGGAAGGAGCACCCAAAUCUGGUCACAGCGUGAGGACAAGACGAUGGUCAUUUUUAGCUGAAGGGAUGUUGAUGACAUUGGGAUACGUUACAUGGCAGUACAGGUUUUUUUGUUUUUGUUUUUUUUUGAGAUAUUAGCCAGUGAUCUACUUCUCUGUUCCCUUGUUCAACCUCAUGCAAGCCAAUGGCCCUCUGUGUGCGUGGCCCGAGUGGAGGAGCGCGAGAAGCAUUAAACAAGGGGACACAGGCAGGGGACACAGGAGGAGACCAGCUUAUCAUUUAUCAGAAAGAAGGCAGGUCAGGCCUCCUGAGGGGCUGUCACGCCGCUGGAAAGCUCAGAAAGUCCCCCCACCUGGCAUAGCCGUAGAGCAAGAGGAUGCCACAUUUGGGUCACCUGGUGUGUGUAAGUGCUACAAGGCUGCAGCCUGAAGGCAUGUGACGAUUCUUUUGCAAUAACAAGUCACAAUGGGGGACACUUUCACUUCAUAUAUCCUGCAGCUUUACUUGAAGUUGCUCAAAUAAGCAGUUUGCCAGCCUGGUCCCUGAAUUAGCUCUCUGAUGAAAGCUUACAUUUACCCUCUGGCCCUUUGCACCACUCUAUCCCCGACCAGUGGGCUUUCCCUUGCAGACGUCUCUUCUCUUCCAGGUGGAGAAAAGAGCCAACGGCCGGCGGAACUGUCCUAUGAGCUGGUGUGCGAACAGGCAGGAAGGUGCCGGAUGGGAGCAGUGGUGUCCCUAUUGCCCGAAGCUUGGACUAUGAGAGGCGGGUGGCUCCAGCCCUGAAACCAGCUGCUGUCACAAGGAGUCAUGCUGAUGGCCUUCACGAGGCUUUGGGUGUCUCCAGUACAAAUGAAAACCCGCGAGACCCGUGUCCUGUCUCUGGGAUUGGGCCAGCACACAAAGCCCAAAGAGCAACUAAUUCCUAGUGGACUAAAUGUGAACCUUGCUUUUCAUUUUUCUUUCUUUUUGGACCAGGAGGAAGAAAAGUCAUGUCGUACAUACUCUAGUUAUUCAUUAUUUUCUUUCUCUCUUUCUUUCCUUCUUUCUUUUUUCUGAAUCAGAAUUUCUUCAAGUGUUAGUUAAAAUUAGCAUUUCUGAUAGCAUUUCUUGAGAUUUUUGGGAGGCAUGGUGGUCAGGACAAUUGAAGCAUUACUAAAAAUACUAUCAAAAUGUACAAAAAAAUGUACAGAAGUUAGUUCAUGGCAACCAAUAAAAAUGCCCUCAUAUAGACAUAGUUAGAAGACAUGAGCAUAACAUUCCAAAGUAAGGAAAUACAAUGAAUCGACAAGUAUGCAAUAAACUAGUCAAAGUUGUUGCCUUGGGUUCUCCAGCGACAGAGAACCACAAGGUUGUACAAGUGUCUGUGUGUGUGAGUGCAUAGGGAGAUAGGCAGGUAGAGGGAUGGAUGGAUGGAUAGAUGCAAGGAAUCAGCUCAUGUGAGGAUCUGCACAAGGGCUCUACAAUCUGGAGAAUCAGAAUUGCUGAAGGUAUAGUUCUGAUCCAACAGCCAUCAGGCUCAAGACUCAAAGAAGAGUUGACGUUUCAGUUCAAGUCUGGAGGCAGACAAAAACCAAUGUCCUGGUUCAAAGGCUGUCGAGCAGGAAGAAUUCCCUCUUACUUGGAGAAGAGUCAGAUUUUUGUUCGAUUCAAGCCUUCAGCUGAUCAGAUGAGACCCACCCCCAUGAGGGAAGGCAGUCUGCUUGACUUAGUCUAUGCACUGAAAUAUUAAUCUUAUUCCAAAACACCCUCACAGAAAUGCUUGGGGUCAUUUUUGACCAGGUAUCUGGGCACCCCGUGGCCUAGUUGAUUUGACACACGGAAUUAACCACCACAGUUAACAAAAAAGACUCAUAUGAAAAAGAAAUGAUAUUUUUUAACCUUUAAAUCUUGUAAUUAAACAUUGAGUGCUCAGGUACAUUGCUGAUAUGACUAUAAAUAACAACAAGCCUUGUGUAUUUGAGAAAAUUAUUUACUUGGCAAAGCAUGUUGGCAAAAAUCUUAAAUGUUCACAGACUUUGAUUCAGUAUUCCUAUUUUGGGGAAUCUUUCUAAGAUAGUAGUCGCAACACAUGUGGAAAAAUUAGACAGAUACCAAAAUCAUUAUCAUGGUGUACUCAGAAUAGUAAUAGAAAUAAAGAAAACGAUCUAAAGCUUGACAAUAUAAAAAUGAAUAAUUAGAGCAUGAUACACUUAGGUAACAAAAGAGCCAAAAUUCAUUCAAAUAUUUGUAAAGUUUCUACAAUGUGAAAUGUGCUCAUGUAUGGUGAACAAGCACAGUCAUAAUUACUAUACAAAAUAGCUAUAAAAAUGCUAAAAAAAUCUCAAAAAUAUUUGAGAAGUUACUUGGUGGUAGUAAAUUAUAGAUGGCCUCUAUUUUACCUUUCAUAAUGGUUUUAUUAAAAUCAAAGAACUUAAUCUGAUAAUUCAGCUCAGUUCAACUUCCUGUUUCUUCUUUUAUGAUUUAAAAACCAUCAGCAGCAUAAACCAUGUUCUAAGUUCAGAGAAUGCUACAUAGAUUGGAUAGCAAAACUCCCUUAUAGGAUUUAUUUUAACCGGAACAAAACUACUAUUCUCUAAUUUUUCAUCUGGCAAAUAUUUUGGGGCCAUUUUCUGGAAAUGAGGUAUUAUCUACCAGAGGAAGUAACCCUGUAGACCUUUGCUUUAUAAUGCGAAUCCGUGUGUCGGUGUUUUACACAUAAAUGUAGGUCAGAAUAUAAAGCUUAUAUUAGGAACAUAGGGGAGUAAACAUUCAUUACUCAGAGUGUUUACUUGCCCGCACGGAGAAUAUAAUAAAAGAUAUUGCAGACUGAAAAACUUUGGUUGCAAACGCUAAAUCAGUUUGGGGCGGGGGGGUUCGUUAGCUUAGCUUUGAUGUUCUCCUGGACAUAAUUUUGUGAAAACAGUGAUAUUUAGUAAUGCAAAACUCUUCUUUCAAACUCUCGUGGACUGUGCUCAGGGAAGAGAGGACAAGGGAUCUAUACUGACUGAGUGUUUUUUGACAAGUUGAGAAGUGCAUCCUCCACUUGGGAGAGA